GACGAACGCUGGCGGCGUGCUUAACACAUGCAAGUCGAACGGAAAGGCCCUGCUUUUGUGGGGUGCUCGAGUGGCGAACGGGUGAGUAACACGUGAGUAACCUGCCCUUGACUUUGGGAUAACUUCAGGAAACUGGGGCUAAUACCGGAUAGGAGCCCCUGCUGCAUGGUGGGGGUUGGAAAGUUUCGGCGGUGGGGGAUGGACUCGCGGCUUAUCAGCUUGUUGGUGGGGUAGUGGCUUACCAAGGCUUUGACGGGUAGCCGGCCUGAGAGGGUGACCGGCCACAUGGGGACUGAGAGACGGCCCAGACUCCUACGGGAGGCAGCAGUGGGGAAUAUUGCACAAUGGUCGGAAGCCUGAUGCAGCAACGCCGCGUGCGGGAUGACGGCCUUCGGGUUGUAAACCGCUUUCGCCUGUGACGAAGCGUGAGUGACGGUAAUGAGUAAAGAAGCACCGGCUAACUACGUG
rnacentral:rRNA from 1 species